UUGAAAAAUAUUUCUACUUUGAUUGCUCUUGAAUUUUUACAUUGACCUUAGCAAUUGUUGAGCCAAAAUUAAAGUACAUCAAGCUUGUUCCAUCCGAGCAAAAAAGCAAAAAAGUAAAAAAGCGAAGGGCUUCAUUCUUCGCCUUCACUGCCGUCGUCACCACCCUCGCUGCCUCCGCCAGCCUUUCCUCCUCCACCGCCCUCAUCACUUUAUUUUUCAAAGUCAGGUUGAAGGUUAGAGAAGUCCAUUCCAAGAAAGAGUCGCUAGGCCUGAGCUCGGCAAUCCUCAAAGCCCUUCACAAAAGGAUCAAUCACGUUAUCCAUGUACUCAUUCUUGAACUGGUCCGAGGAGAGGUAUUCCUCGACCACUUUGGUGGUGCUCUGCUCGACUUGGAUGACGAGCUCCUUGGCCUCGGCAACCUUCCCCUCAGCUUAGAUGACAAACUCUUGGGCCUCGUUGGCCUUUAGCUCGACCUAGACUAGCUUCGUAGAAAGCUUUACGGCCUUCUGCUUGGCGGCUUUGAAGGCCUCUCUUCCUGCGAACAGUUAACUCUCCUUGAUUUUGCCUAGCUCCGCACGGGUGAGACGUGGGCUUCUGCCGACUUGAUCUUCUCUUCAACAGACUUUUGCCCUCUCCUUUGCAUGUCGAGCUCGCUCCUCAACAGCCUCCACCCUCUCCUCGGCCUGCCGAGCCCGCUCCUCAGUAGCCUCCGCCCUCUUCUCGGCCUGACCAACCCACUCCUCGGCAUGACCGACCUGCUCCUCGCCCGACCAGCCUGCUCCUUGGCAUGACUGACCCGCUCCUCAACAACCUCGCACCUCGUCCUGAGCUCCAAGCCACGCCUCAUGAGCGUCGUGAUUGACUCAUACAUAUAGCCGACCUUGUGAGUAUGUUGAAAAGAAGAAGAAGGAUAUUUAUCGAAGUGAACAACUUAGUGAAGAUAUGUAAGUCAAAAGCUUACCUGAAUGACCGAGGUGAAAGGCCAUUAAACAGUUCACUGGUACUAAUGGAGCGCAUGAUCUCCUUAUCGCCCUGGAGAUGCAUAGCUUGGAUCAUCUCCUUCGCCACUUCGAGGGUUAGCAUAGUUGAAUCAGACUCUUAGAUUGACCACUUGUGGUGUAGGUCCUAAAGGCAUGGGUCAGAGCUGAAGGGCCCUCCUUGGCUGGAGUAGACGAGCUCGGAUCUGAUCAAGCUAAGGUACGGGCCUCGAGGGACAACCAGCAAAAAGAGUGGCAGCCGCAGAAAGUUAUGUGAGGAUGACCCCCUCCGAAGGGGCCAACCUAAUUGGUGGCACAAUCUCGACUUCAGGGUCGAGCUCCAUAUUCUUCCCCCAACGUAUGGGCACCUCGAGGGAGACCUUGAGAACCAAGGCCUCAACAGCGACCUCGGUGGUAGCUUUGGUGGCAGGGGCCGAUAAAGAUUCCUCCCUAUACUUCUGCCUUUAGGGGGUUUCUCCCCUAGAUGUUGUGGCCGCCCUUUUCUGUAUCUUCUUGCGGAUCACCGCAAAGUUGGUCUUCAUUGCUACGACAGCUGCAAAAUCGAGGACAAGGCCAGAAAAGAAUAUAACAAGGUGAAAGGAUAAAAAAAU
rnacentral:lncRNA from 1 species